rnacentral:rRNA from 1 species
AGAGUUUGAUCCUGGCUCAGGAUGAACGCCGGCGGUGUGCCUAAUACAUGCAAGUCGUACGCACUGGCCCAACUGAUUGAUGGUGCUUGCACCUGAUUGACGUUGGAUCACCAGUGAGUGGCGGACGGGUGAGUAACACGUAGGUAACCUGCCCCGGAGCGGGGGAUAACAUUUGGAAACAGAUGCUAAUACCGCAUAACAACAAAAGCCGCAUGGCUUUUGUUUGAAAGAUGGCUUUGGCUAUCACUCUGGGAUGGACCUGCGGUGCAUUAGCUAGUUGGUAAGGUAACGGCUUACCAAGGCGAUGAUGCAUAGCCGAGUUGAGAGACUGAUCGGCCACAAUGGAACUGAGACACGGUCCAUACUCCUACGGGAGGCAGCAGUAGGGAAUCUUCCACAAUGGGCGCAAGCCUGAUGGAGCAACACCGCGUGAGUGAAGAAGGGUUUCGGCUCGUAAAGCUCUGUUGUUGGAGAAGAACGUGCGUGAGAGUAACUGUUUACGCAGUGACGGUAUCCAACCAGAAAGUCACGGCUAACUACGUGCCAGCAGCCGCGGUAAUACGUAGGUGGCAAGCGUUAUCCGGAUUUAUUGGGCGUAAAGCGAGCGCAGGCGGUUGCUUAGGUCUGAUGUGAAAGCCUUCGGCUUAACCGAAGAAGUGCAUCGGAAACCGGGCGACUUGAGUGCAGAAGAGGACAGUGGAACUCCAUGUGUAGCGGUGGAAUGCGUAGAUAUAUGGAAGAACACCAGUGGCGAAGGCGGCUGUCUGGUCUGCAACUGACGCUGAGGCUCGAAUGCAUGGGUAGCGAACAGGAUUAGAUACCCUGGUAGUCCAUGCCGUAAACGAUGA